AAAAACCAACAGAAGUUUCAGAAAAAGGCUGCAACUACUGAAUGGAACUACAGAUGUGAAAGCUGAAACUCUUUAUGUAAUGUAAAGUGUGGAGCAGCGGCCAGCGAACAGAUGCAGGAAAUGGAGACACCUCUUUUGGGGAUAUGAUUCAUCUGCUCGGCAGCACGGUCGAUCUAAUUGUACCUUCAAAGAGGACGGCACACGAGGAAGAGAAGGCAAGGACUCCGUUUCAUCCUCUCUACGCGCUGCAAGCUUCCUUUGACUUUGGCUGUGACCUGUUUGUUGACAACACAAACCAGAGAUGUAACAAAGCACCCAUCUGUCAUCCCCACCGCUCUGCAUUUUGCCAAAUAAUGCCACCAAUGCAGGCAGACCUCUGCAGUAUGCCAGACUCCCAAGACUCACGCAGGAGGAUCUGAAAAUGACGAAGUGGCGUGAUACCAAAUAUCUCAACAAUGGGAAGAAAACCUUCUACGAACGCAGAAGAGGUUGCGGUUAAGGAGAAAACGAUUAUGCGCCGUCUGAUGGCAGGUUUUGUCUCCAUCGGUGACAGUGUUUGGCGCCACAUCAAAGACGGGUCAGCGGCAGUUGGCAGAGCCUCAAAGUGCAGCUCCGGCGAGAGGCAGCGAGGCGUUUCAGGUCCACUGGAUGGUCAGCGCCUCGGAAAAUUCCACUGACUCUUUGCAGGCCUGCGUGGCUGCGAUGCACAGUAACAGCCUCCGUUAUUAUUAUCAUUAUUAUUGUCAUUGAAAUGGCUACAGGUGUUCCUGGCUCAGGGAAUUACUGUCAGUCCUGUGUCUGAUAUUUGUGGGAUUUAUAAUAUUAGUGUUUGGAAUUAGAGUGUUUUUUAGAACACAGCUGCCUAGUGUGGCUGAAAACUCUGGGAGCGGCGAGAGUGAACCAGAGCGGUAAAGUCUCUGUGGCUUGUUUGAGGAGUGGUAAUAGUGAGCAGUUAAUAAGGAACUGGGACAUCUAACAUGCUGGUCCUUCCCAGAUUAUUCCUGAAGAUAUCGGUGUUCCCGUUCGUGCUCCUAUUGUUGUGGAAAGCAUUGAGUUACACAGGAGGACGGAGAUUUAUCAAACUGACGGUAUGAAUCAGGCGCUGAAAAUGUCGCCAUGAGCAUUACGAUAUUGCAUCAGGAAGUCAGAACUUCCACUCGACCCCGAUGGGUAACAACUCUUACUCAACCUGUUUGAUACUGAAUCCUUCAGAGGCGUCGGAGCGGCUUUGAGCCGUCCUGCCUCAGGUUUUGUCUGGCUAAGCGGGGGUCCGUGUGAAGCAGGAAGACUCGGCUUCAGCCAGAGACAAAACACACAGAGGAUCACAGGUCUGGACGAGAGCUGAGUCCGUUUGAACGUCAGGUUCCCAGAAGCCUCGAUAAAAGCCAGGGGUUCCGGUUAUAGUUCAGGAGAGCAGAUUGUGUUUGUGUUGCAGCUCCAAGCUUUUUUUCACUCCGGCAUUGUUGCUGUUUCCAGAUUCUAGCUGGAGCUCUCAGCUCAAUCAGCUGUGCAGCGCGAUGUAUAAAACACAAAUAAAUAGUGAUAAAAAGUAAACUGUUUGGAUACUUGAUAUCUCAGGGGUUUACACAGAAAUAAUAGAAGUUGGCCUAACAUUUACCUUUGGAUGUUUACUCCGCUGAUAUACAGCGUUAUUGUAUUCAUAAACAGGCAGCGAGCAGAGCUGCACAAUAGAAACACAGACGUUCACCUACAGCAGUAAGAGCUGCCGCGCUCUAACCGCUCAACAAUGUGCCACUAUUCUUCCUAUCGGGCAGGAAGUAACCUCAAUGUGCCUUUCCUGGUUGCAACUUUAAAUUGAUAAUUCAAUAAAUAAAUGCAAUAUUAAAUGGUGUGACCGGAAAGUGACUCCUUACUUUCCCACCGGCGUCGCCCUUCAGGGACAAACUGGGGCCACCUUCUGUGUUCAGGGGGGGAAAAAAAACAACUUUUGUUUACAAAAAAACUAAAUAAAUGAGGUGAAUUUG